AAGAGAGAGAGAGAGAGAGAGCGAGAGAGAGAGAGAGAGAGAGAGAAAUACUUCAGAACGGCUUUGAGACACACGGGCGAGUUCUCUCAAUGCAUCACACACUACAGCGUCUCAAUCAGGAAAUAAUGAGAAAGAAACGCGAUCAACUCAAAGCCGCCUUCAACCUCCGCAGCAGUGACCGGCGGCGUGGAAGUCCUCAAUCACCAAGCUGUCACCGCGCAGCUUUGAAAGGCCCUGGAUCUGCGCCGGGACUGGCUGCGGAGCGUACCCAUAAAUCGACAGCCGGUCCUUCAACGGGAGUCCCCGAGCUCCCAGCCAUCAUUCGUCAAAGCGUCUGUGCUCCGGAUGGAAGCAAAUAAAGCAUUGCGUUUUUGAAGUUAAA